CUUGCCUCUUUCUUGCUAUAUAAAGCCCAAGUCCCACGAAAACCCUAACCCCAUUGAAAACUAUGUCAAGCAUCGUGGCCGUAAAAGCGUCUGUUUUUACUUAUCUGACAGUAAAACCCUCUCAAUUGCUUAGGGUUUAUAGCUCUGCGAAAUGAAACCCUAGUCCCUAAUAGUAAUUGGAACCCGUCAAUGGAGGGGUUGAAGGUAUCAGAUGCCAAUUUGGUUGCUUACGUGAACCCAUCGAAGAGUACCAAGGUUCCCCAAGCUGUCCUACGCGAGCUCAGCUCUCUGCUUUUCAAGUUCAAUGAAACUUUUGAUGGUGUGGUAUUAGCAUAUGACGUCCAAAUUCAAGAUAAAGUUGCAAAGAUUCUUCCUGGACUUCACCCUUAUUUUUGUGUGAGACUAAAAGCAAAGCUGUUACUUUUUUCUCCGAAGCCAAACAUGCUUUUAGAAGGGAAGGUUGUGAAGCUUACUCAAACAUCCAUCCAUGUCAUUGUUCUUGGUUUUUCAUCUGCUGUCAUGACAGAUGAAGACAUUCGGGAAGAAUUUAUAUAUAAAACCAAACACGGUGAGGAACAAUAUGCUAGCAGAUUUCACAAGCGACAUGUGAUAAAGGUUGGAACCAUGAUACGCUUUUCAGUCAAGAGUUUUGAUGAGGAAAUACUGCACAUUUCUGGGUCUCUGGUUCCAAGAAACACGGGAAGCAUUGGCUGGUUGGCUAAACAUAUGGAAGAUGUUUCACGUAUUGACAGGAGUACAAAGAGGGGAAGAGAAAGUGAGGCAGAAUCGGUAAUUGUAGAGCACAGUGAAGCAUAUUCUUUGCACAGUGACCAAAUCAGGACGUCAAAGAAACGCAAAAUUAAAGACUGAGUCUUAAAGAAGUGUAAGGAUCCAUGCCCCGAUUGGGUGAAGAGAAAUAAGUGGGCAUCGAGGUUUACAGCCAUAAGAGGUCAACUCGACCAAAAUAUAUACCAUCUUCAAAGCCCAAAGUUCUACCUCGAACCCAGAGCUCAGUUUGGUGGGAUAUUGACAGAAUUCAAAGAUUGGAAAAACAAAAAACAAAAAGAAAUACCAGUUGGCUGACGGUAUGAGGAAAUUUCGUCUAUUCUUGCUUUUAUUCUAUGCAUACCAGACCUAGAUUGGACAGACGUCAAAAACCCGUGACUCAGUGUUGGUUCAUCAAUCAAUUUUUCAGGGGGAUUUGAGGAGUGUAAAGUACAUUUCAUGUAAACCAUUAUGUACUUGUCAUAGCCAUCGCAUGCAGUUGUAAAUAAAUAAAUAAAUAAAGAAAGUGGAAGACAGAUCUAUAUAUAUAUAUAAUGUGUAUGAGUAUUGGAGGAAUAUUUUGUAAAUGACGAUGAGGUACGGGGUUUCUAUCAGAACCCACCCCCAUGAUAGUUGUAGCCUUCUCUCAUCUUGUUUGAAUGUUUGUUCAAAGGUUAUUUUUAUGAGUUUUUGAGGUGAAAUAGAGGAGUGGGAAAGAUAUGCUUUUCAGUUUGGUGAAUUA